rnacentral:tmRNA from 1 species
GGGGGCGAAACGGUUUCGACGGGGAGGAACAGGGCUAAAAGGCAUACCGGGGGCCAUGCACCCGCAAUCGCGUGGACCAAAAACUAAAUGCCAAUACACAAUUGGCUCUCGCUGCUUAAUUAAAAGUGGCGCGUCGCGUCACCUUCGCCUGUAGGGGUGAACGCGAUGUCAUUUUAUGCGGGCUGGCUCUUCUCUCUCUGUCCGUGAGGGAGGAGCGAGACCCAUCGGGCUAGCGGCCGUUAAUUCUUGUUGGCUCGACGUUAGCGGUUGUGAAGCUGUUUCGAACCGACUACGUAUGUAGGCUUUUAGCUCCGGACCUUUUCGGACGGGGGUUCGACUCCCCCCGCCUCCACCA